CAGUGUUACAUGACAUGAUGGCGUGUAACCUUUUCUCUCCUAUUUAAAAACCAGUCAGCAUGCUGUUGUUAAAUGCAUGACAUUACCCUAAUUACAGUUUUUCUCAAUCGCUAAAACACUAAACCCCAUUCUUGGAACACAACUGUAAACUGCCAAAACUUGUCUAUUGAAUGACUCACUCAUUUCACAAAACCUUAAACCAUUUUCUCCUAGUUUGACACUGUUUCACGUCUGAUUCAACCUUUUUGCAAAACUCUAAACACAUUCUCACUGACUAACACACAUUUCUCAUGGCAGUGCACUUUGAUGCAAAAUGGCACACACAUGCCACAAAAGUUAAACACAACAAACACACUAUUGUCAUCGUUAACACACUACAGGUAAAAACUGUUCACACGUGUCAUAUCAGUAAAAAGAAUUAAAAUGAUUAGGUAAACAGAAUAAAAGUCAUUUCAGAUGCAUGUGGCAUUUCUGAGCUGUAUUGUGACUAGCAAUAAAGGGCAACAAUAGAAGAAGAAGAGAAGGGCAUGUCAGAGGUGGUGGACGAGGAGGAAGAUGAGGAUGACCAAGAACAAGAGCAGUUAUAUCAAAUACUGUAUUCUGUGUAAAGCAGCACAUUUAUACAACAUGAGGUCUGUCAUGAUGUGUCACUUUUAAACUAAAACCCCGGAGAGGCCCCAUGAAUGUUUACAUUUGAACAAAGCUGGAUUUAUUCUCACAAAGAGGUGGAGAAGAGGUCUCAACUGAUAAACAUAUCAGUUUCAUAUAUUAUACAUAUCAAACAUAACUGAUCAACCUGCAAUUAUAGAAAUGCCUGAUCAUUGUGGUGGCAAUGUGAACAUGUAGCCUAGCAGUUAAGGUACUGGACUAGUAAACCCACUGCAACGUUGCCACUGUUGGACCUUUGAGCAUGACCCGUAACCCUCAGUUGCUUAGACUGUAUACUGUAAGUUGUCUGGAUAAAAGUGUCUGCAUAUUGCUGAAAAUGUAAAAUGUAUGUGCGGCCAUCAACAGCAAUGGGGUACUACUAACAUUUCUGGAUGGUCUACAAGAUGCUUUGAUUGGACUUCAGCAGGGGAUCCUGAACUGAGAGAGCACCACCCUGUGUACGUUGUUGUUUGACCAAUGAAUUCUACUCGGCGUACCCAGAAAAAUCUGCUCCAGUCAAUGGAUGCAGUAUGUGAUGACAUUAGAGUGGAUUCUUCUCAAGCCUGGAAUCUGCAUGGAUUUUUUUUUUGCAUUGUCUAGAUAGGGAGAAUAUUGCCUGUAAUGUAGAUAAAGUUCUGUGGCCUGACCGAGCCCAGAGACAUGAUCCUUAGGCAGAAUAAAUGAUUGACUUUGCAAACUGUAUAUACAAUAAAUAAAUAUAUUGCAGUUCA